UACGGAGGAUGCAAGCGUUAUCCGGAAUGAUUGGGCGUAAAGCGUCCGCAGGUGGCUAUGUAAGUCUGCUGUUAAAGAGUGAGGCUCAACCCCAUAAGAGCAGUGGAAACUACAUGGCUAGAGUGCGUUCGGGGCAGAGGGAAUUCCUGGUGUAGCGGUGAAAUGCGUAGAUAUCGGGAGGAACACCUAUGGCGAAGGCAGCUCGCUGGGACGUUACUGACGCUGGAGGCGCGAAAGCGUGGGGGAGCGAACAGG
rnacentral:rRNA from 1 species